rnacentral:rRNA from 1 species
AUUGAACGCUGGCGGCAGGCCUAACACAUGCAAGUCGAGCGGAUGAAGGGAGCUUGCUCCUGGAUUCAGCGGCGGACGGGUGAGUAAUGCCUAGGAAUCUGCCUGGUAGUGGGGAUAACGUCCGGAAACGGGCGCCAAUACCGCCUAAGUCCCGAGGGAGAAAGGGGGGGAACUUCGGACCUCACGCCAACAGAUGAGCCUAGGUCGGAUUAGCUAGUUGGUGGGGUAAAGGCCUACCAAGGCGACGAUCCGUAACUGGUCUGAGAGGAUGAUCAGUCACACUGGAACUGAGACACGGUCCAGACUCCUACGGGAGGCAGCAGUGGGGAAUAUUGGACAAUGGGCGAAAGCCUGAUCCAGCCAUGCCGCGUGUGUGAAGAAGGUCUUCGGAUUGUAAAGCACUUUAAGUUGGGAGGAAGGGCAGUAAGUUAAUACCUUGCUGUUUUGACGUUACCAACAGAAUAAGCACCGGCUAACUUCGUG